AACCAGCUCUUCAAGUGGUCGGGAUAAUUAUUGGGCUUAAAGUGUCCGUAGCCGGUUUAGUAAGUUCCUGGUAAAAUCGGAUAGCUUAACUAUCCGCAUGCUAGGAAUACUGCUAUACUAGAGGGCGGGAGAGGUCUGAGGUACUAUAGGGGUAGGGGUGAAAUCUUAUAAUCCUUGUAGGACCACCAGUGGCGAAGGCGUCAGACUGGAACGCGCCUGACGGUGAGGGACGAAAGCCAGGGGAGCGAACCGGAUUAGAUACCCGGGUAGUCCUGGCCGUAAACGAUGCAUACUAGGUGAUGGUACGGCCGUGAGCCGUAUCGGUGCCGUAGGGAAACCGUUAAGUGUGCCGCCUGGGAAGUACGGUCGCAAGGCUAAAACUUAAAGGAAUUGGCGGGGGAGCACCACAAGGGGUGAAGCCUGCGGUUC
rnacentral:rRNA from 1 species